rnacentral:rRNA from 1 species
CAACUUUUGACAACGGAUCUCUUGGCUCUCGCAACGAUGAAGAACGCAGCGAAAUGCGAUACGUAAUGUGAAUUGCUUUCCGUGAAUCAUCGAAUCUUUGAACGCACAUUGCACUCCUUUGGAGUAUGCCUGUUUGAGAAUCUAUA